rnacentral:misc_RNA from 1 species
UAAGAAUAUUGAAAUAUGGAAAAUGAAAAAAUUAAUCAAAGCCCUACAAUCUGCCAGAGGAAAUGGCACCAGCAUGAUCUCUCUUAUCAUACCCCCUGGUGAUCAGAUAUCUCGUAUUACCAAGAUGCUGGCAGAAGAAUAUGGUACUGCAUCAAAUAUUAAGAGCAGAGUAAACCGUCAGUCUGUGCUUGGUGCAAUAACGUCUGCUCAGCAGAGGCUUAAACUUUAUAACAAAGUUCCUCCUAAUGGUUUGCUGCUUUACACUGGAACUAUAGUGACGGAUGAUGGAAAGGAAAAGAAGGUCACCUUUGAUCUUACGCCUUUUAAACCCAUAAAUGCGUCUCUAUACUUAUGUGACAACAAAUUUCAUACUGAACCUCUUGGUGAAUUGUUGGAAUCUGAUGAGAAGUUUGGUUUCAUUGUCAUGGAUGGUAAUGGGACCCUUUUUGGGACCUUGAGUGGCAACACCCGAGAAGUUCUUCAUAAGUUCACUGUUGAUCUCCCAAAGAAGCAUGGAAGAGGAGGUCAA